rnacentral:antisense_RNA from 1 species
UGUCAUGGCGGCUGUGCGUGGAGCACCUUCGGGUGCGCCGGAGUGUGUUCCAGAUGCCGGUUGACCAAUCCGCGUACAGUCGUCACCCAA